AGGUUUCUCGGUACAACAGUGGAGAGUUCUUCCGUACUGUCUCUGCUACAGAGUCUGGUGCAACAACUGAGUAUGCUGGAGAAUCAAAGCCCACGAACCGGCCUGCCGACGAGCAUCUCAACAUCCACAGUAUAAACUCAAGUGCCGCAGAUAUAUCUACUAUAUGAGCGACGAAUCCAUCGUCUUUGCCAGCUCUUUCCACACUGCAGGAGGAAGAUCGUCUGGAACACACACAUUAUCUGACCCGCGCGCGCACCGUUGACUUGGUAACGGUGGUAACGAUUGCAGAUGACAUCAACCUCAGGGUGUGGGCUCGAUCCCGGGACAAAAAGACGACCACAGAUCGGCAGGCCCGGACGCUGGCGCCAAUAGAA